UGAGGAAUAUUGGACAAUGGGCGCAAGCCUGAUCCAGCCAUGCCGCGUGCAGGAUGAAGCAUCUAUGGUGUGUAAACUGCUUUUGUACGGAACGAAACGGCCUUUUCUAAUAAAGAGGGCUAAUGACGGUACCGUAAGAAUAAGCACCGGCUAACUACGUGCCAG
rnacentral:rRNA from 1 species